GGGGUAAUAGCUCAAUGGUAGAGCACAUGCUUAGCAUGCAUGAAGUCCAGUAACUCUA
rnacentral:tRNA from 1 species